rnacentral:rRNA from 1 species
UACGUAGGGAGCGAGCGUUGUCCGGAAUUACUGGGCGUAAAGGGUGCGUAGGCGGCAUGGCAAGUCAGAUGUGAAAUUCCCGGGCUUAACUCGGGGGGUGCAUUUGAAACUGCUGUGCUUGAGUGCAGGAGAGGAAAGCGGAAUUCCUAGUGUAGCGGUAAAAUGCGUAGAUAUUAGGAGGAACACCGGUGGCGAAGGCGGCUAUCUGGACAGUAACUGACGCUGAGGCGCGAAAGCGUGGGGAGCAAACAGGAUUAGAUACCCCU